AUAAAAGUUUUAUAGGGUUCCGUAGUUGAAAUUUUAACUGGUCUGGUCCGAGAUAAAACGCACAGUAUUCUGUGUUCACGGAAGGACAAAAGCCUGGGAGAU
rnacentral:sRNA from 1 species